GACGUCUCAGUCUACUUACAUAAAAUUGAAUAUCUAAUUAUUUUUCAUAAGCCAUUUAAAUGGAAACGUUUGUUAAAUCCAACUAUUUCGUUCGAUUAUUGUGAGCUAAUACGUAAGGACUUUAACCAUGUCUUCUCCUCCAAGCACGUUCAAUCACUCGUUGAUCAGCAAUGGAACCAACCGUUCGUCAACUGAACGAUCCUCUGCAUCCAUCCACCAAGAGGUUUGGCUCGUGUCACUUCUGCUUGUAGUUAUUAUCGGUCUGAGUCUUAAUCUUUCCGUCAUCUCACUCGUGAUGAUGAAAAAAGUGCCGCGAAGGAACAUGAAUCUUUUGGUCGCUAACAUGGCAUUCAGCGACUUUUUAUCACUUCUACUGGAGCCUUCGUCUCUUCUGUCCCAAAUGACGGGAAACUCGCCAUGGAUUGGGGUUAGUUAUCUGGCAGAUGUGACUUGUAAGUUGUACACAUUCACGAUGAACACAUCCACAUGGGUUUCCCUUGUGACACUUUUGGUUAUCUCCGUGGAGAGGUUCCGAGCAGUGUCAUCCGUUGUACAUGUGACGGAAAAACGCAGCGUUCUCAUUAUCCUGCUACUUGUGUCCUGGGUUUUACCUGGACUGCUUAACUCUAGUACUUUUGCUUUCUGCGCGGCUAAUAACAUCGGAGGGACAUUUCAAUGCUUGUGCGUCUUUACAAUGCAGUCAGCGAUCUAUGCUGUUGCUGCAAAUGUAAUCUUCGUAUUAUUGGUGAUCGUAAUUCUCUGUCUCAAUUUUGCAAUUAUACGUAAACUUGUUCGCUCUCAAGUGGCGAUACACAUCCCAGAGGCUCAGCAACAAAAGCGAGCUCGAAGGUUUCGCUCUGCGACGCGCAUGGUCAUAACUUCUCUUUUACUGUUUGUACUCUGUGCGACCCCCCUCUACAUAGUGCUCACAAUCUUUAGAAUGCAGUUUUUAUUGGGAGUUCCAAUUCUUAGUGAGUGGAGCGGGAAUAUGAUUAAUGCAGUAACUGUUCUGUUUUUUGUUAAUCCUGCCGCUAGCCCGAUCAUCUACUUUGUAUUUCUCGGCGACUUUAGAAAAGUGUUACGCAAGUUUUGCUGCAGAAAGAAGGUUAUUGGUCAACCGAAUGCGGAACCGGGAUUACCACUUACUUAAUGAGGAACCGGAAGAACUACACUCUUGAUGUGGAACCGGAUGAACUACACAUUUAAUUAUUGUCCUUCGGGAAAAACUGUCCGUGAACAAAUCUGAAAUAGGGUUGGGAACUGUUGAGGAGUUCAGAAACCGAAGGUCUCUUAUAAGUGCUAAUGCCUAAAGGUGAACAUCGCACUAAAAAAUGAACUUAUCACUUUGGAAAUCAGACUUUUGGAACCUUCUCGUGUGCGACUUCCAGUUUGUCCUUACCUGUUUGAAUUAUUUUUUCUCGUCUUAUUAAAAAGACCAGAUCCUAUUCGUUGCAGCCCGAACUGCCAAUUGUUCUUUUAAAUCAUAUAAUAUAUGGUAAAUGAGGUAGAAAACUUUAGUCGAACAUUACUUCAAAUCAACUACAUUUCCUUCCACUUCCUUCUUAUUUGAAUCGUUUUAUUAUUUUCAUGACAUGACGCUGCAAAUAAGCCCAUUUCACAUCUAAUAAGGCAUAAAAUUUCACUGAGUGCUUAGCUAGUAAUAGCAAACACAGUAUCAAACGCGACAUUGAUGCGACUGAUGCGACUUUUUGUAAAGAGUUUUUGAAAUUUUCGUCCAUGAGCCCAUGCAUAGCGCAAGGAUGAUCAAUGUAAAUAUAUUUUAAAAAGCCAAAAUCUGGGUAUGUGCAUUUCGGCCUCACGUUAUUUGUGUUUCCAGAAUACAAGGAACCGAUGCCCAUAGUAAGAAAUCAAGUCUUUUUCAUCCAUCUCGAAUUGCGCUUUUCCUGGUUUUUCCGUCAUGUCUAUUUUAAUCCAUUUGAAGUAAUAACGCCCAGUCUGCGACGAAAAUGUUAAGCAUUCAUCUGGACAGUUGAGCAUACAAUUGGGCAGGAUGAAGAAGAUAUUUCUAGCGCACGGUGCAACAUUUGUCACAAUCGUAAUUAUUUCGCUGAUGCUGUAUAGAAACAGAUUUGCUAAGUAGGAUGGACGUCUCAGUCCACUUACAUAAAAUUGAAUAUUUAAUUAUUUUUCAUAAGCCAUUGGCAUGGAAACGUUUGUCAAAUCCAACCAUUUCGUUCGAUUAUUGUUAAGCCUUCUGCGUUAGGACUUUAACCAUGUCGUCUCCUCCAAGCAUGUUCAAUCACUCGCUGAUCAGCAAUGGAACCAACACUUCGUCAACUGAACGAUCCUCGGCAUCCAUCCACCAAGAGGUUCGACUUUACUCUUAAUGAGAAACCGGAUGAACUACACAUUUGUAGUACUACUCAAUGAGGAACAGGAAGAACUACACACUUAAUGCGGAACCGGAAGUACCAAUCAAUAAGGAACCGGAAGAACUACACAAUGUGGAACCGGAAGAACCACUCAAUAAGAAACCGGAAGAACUAUACUCUUAAUAAGGAACCGGAUGAGCUACACAUUUAAUUAAUGUCCUUCGGGAAAAACACUUUGUAUUCAUACUGAAAAUCAAAAUCAAGUUAGCUUUUACCCUUCAGUUCUACAUGAGAUUUCUGUUCUCAUUGAACCUCAAAAUUAGCAUUUUUUUGCAAUAUAUCAUAAUAUAAUAAUAAACAUUAGCGCGUGAAAAUGUAUGCAUAGUCACUGUUGUAUUUACGAGGCGCACAUCAAAAAUACCACGGAAAACUAUGGAAAACUUGUUUUUCACAAACGUAAAAUAAUAGUAGGGGCGGGUUCUUUGCUUAAAAUUCAUAAAGUGCAAACAUGAUUUCUGAUUGGGAGAAAUUCAUCCUUUCAUCAAAACCUUCGUUAAAGUGCAAACGGUCCACAUGAGAGAAUUUUGCGAAUGACGAAACCUUCUGAUUUAUCAAAGCUGACAACCAAUAAGAAAUCGAGAUUACGUGCAAGUAUUGUUUAAGCUGCAUUUGGAGUGAGUUGCCUAGCGGAGCAUAAUAAAUACCGCGAGAGGCACGGCGCUCCCCCUCUAGUGUGGGACGGUACCCUUGAGGCUCAUGCCAAGGCCUGGGCCAAGAAACUCAGCUCCGGUCGCCUCCCCCCUGGGGUGUUCCAUGACAUGAGGAGCCGUGAGGGUGAGAACAUCGCCAUAAUAUCAGAGCCGACGUGCGAAGAGGCGCUUAGCAUGUGGAUGGACGAGUUCAUAGAUUACAAGGAUGAAGGAUAUUGCGCCAACCCCCCAAGACUACCCCCCUAUCACCUCAUGCAUUUCACACAAGUCACGUGGAAGGCGACCCGUCGGCUCGGGGUGGCUGUGUCAGGGAACUGGCUGGUGGCGCGCUACUCACCCUCGGGGAACUGGGGCGGACAGUUUGGCAGGAACGUUGAGUGCUAGAGAACUGUUGCGUCAAAAUGUUUUUAUCGAUGUAUUUGUCCAUUCAAAAAGAUCUCAAAAGUAAUAAAGCUAUCAAAAUAUUA